rnacentral:lncRNA from 1 species
GGCGGAGCCGCUUCCUUCGCCUUAGGAGGAGGAGCAGCUGAAGCUGCCGCAGGACGCAGGAUCCGCAGUGCAAUGACCCAUCGCGUCUGCUCGCCUCCCCUCUGCUCCCCACCGUGAGGGGCCCGCCCCACCAGGCAGCGGGUGGUGACCUCCGCAGGGAAACACACUUUUAAAAGAAAAUCUCCCUGGGGUCUUCAGACACCUGGAGCCUGUGACUUGGGCCCUGGGCCAAGCUUUGCACCUGUGAGCAGUGCUUCCUCCCACAGACUCUGCCCUGCAGGAAGCAGAGGCAGGAGUGGGCAGUGGAUCUCAGCUUCACACAGGGAAACGGUUUGCAGGUUUGCACUGCGACACAGCUGCUGGGUGGGUGACUGAUGGAAAGCAGCACACACACCCCAGAUCGCCCAUCCUGAAGACACCCAAGCCCCAUAAAUACACCAGGCUCGGGUCAUAAGGAGCCUCCCUCCCUUGAGGACCCACACUCUAUUUCUUUGAGCCCGUACUUUUAAGUUGCCACCUAAUAAAUCCCUUAAUGCUGC